rnacentral:lncRNA from 1 species
AAAUCCAACGGUACACUCAUCGCCAUCGUCGUUCAUGACCAUACGCUCCACCAUAGCUUCACCGCAGCGUCUGCGCCAUAUCCGAACUACCGUCGGCAGAGGUGUGCGUAAGGUAAGAGAGUGGCACGCAACGUCAAUGUGAGGGCAUUGAAAGAGCAAGAGAAGUGAAAAAAACCGCGGGGAGAAGAAGAUGAAGAAACAACAAAAAAGGAGAAAGAUUAACUAGGAGCAGGAGGAGAAAAACGAACGAGAUAAAAAAAAUGAGAAAAAAUUGAAUAAAAAUAUUUUGUUCAGUUUACUAAAAAUUCGGACCAAAAAUACAAAAUCCUAAAUGAUGGCAGGUUUUUGCAAAAAUGCAAAACCGAUGAAUAUUUUAUAUGAAUUAGCCAUUAUUUUUAUUAAAUUUAAAUUUUAUAUUAAAUUCAAAUAAUUAUUUUUUUCACUAUCUCUACUAUUCCAUAUAAUUAACUAAGCACACUUUCAAUUAUUUUCUCUUUUUUUUGAGAGAGAGAGAUAGGUAGAAUGCUACCCGCUUCAUUUAUUUUAUUUCAGAAAUAAACUUAGCUGAAUAUGUGAAUCAAUUAGGAUUCGAACUUAGAACUUCGAGUAUCAACCACUAAAUCCUUUGCUACUUGUACUAGGGACGGUCGGUACUUUCAGUUAUUUUCAAAAAUAGUAGCAUUAUAAAGGAAGCAUAAUUUUUUUUUUUAUGCCUAACUAUUACAAAUAGUAAACAAUUCUAGAAAUAAAAAAAGGUAUCUCAAUGUUCUCUAUCCUCGAAUCAAACGGAGCCUUAAAAAACUAGAUCUUAAAUUUUGUAAUCUCCAUAGUUAUUUUUUAGAUGUAGACUUAGCAUUUUUCUUUUUGAUUCUAGAGAUGAUAAUUUUUUUAAUUUUUUAUUUUUUUUGAGAGAGAAAAAGGUAACAUGCUAUCCGCUUUAUUUUUUUUUCUUUUAAAAAUAAAUUUAGUUGAAAACGUGAAUUAAUUAGGAUUCGAACUUGGAAUCUCGAAUACCAACUAUCAAGUCUUUUGCUACUUAUGCUAGGGACAGUCGGUAAUUUAUCAAAAUUUUUGAAUCGAAUUUUUUAAAUUAUUAUUAUUAUUAUUAUUAUUUUGAGAGAUAGGUAGCACGUUUUUCGCUUUAUUUAUUUUAUUUAGAAAUAAACUUAGCUGAAAAUGUGAAUCAACUAGGAUUCGAAUUUGGGUCUCGAAUACCAACCAUCAAU